UGACAAAUUCAAGUUCAAUAUAUCGAUUUGUUUAGUUAUAUUUGUAGAUUUACAAUUCAGAUGUUCGAAACAAACUGACAGGAAAAUGUCUGUAACUCAACAAACUUCCACGGUGUCACUCCAAAACUGUCCAAUAUGUUUGGAGCCAGUGCAAGAUCAGCGAAAGUUUCUGGCCUGUACUCAUCUUUUUCACGCGCCUUGCAUCGACAAAUGGUUUACCAUUAAGGAAAUUUGUCCCAUUUGCAGAACGCAACAUGGUUCACAGAAACCAGUUGCUCCGCUUACCGAAACGAGUACACAUAUCCCGUUCGAGGCGUUUGCGAUUGUUACAUCUACGUACACUCGGUCUGUGCAAAGUCGUCGUAGGGAGAGACGAAUACAACCUGCUAGAGGUAGCAGCCGAUCUCGUUCCCGGCGGAGGUGAACGUGCGACCAAUCAUGCGCUAUCAAAUUUUAUAUUAUUUUGGGUAAAAUCAGAGCUAAAUAAAAUUAUAUUUGUGACGGGUUAUCAUUAAA